UACAGAGGUGGCAAGCGUUGUUCGGAUUUACUGGGCGUAAAGGGUCCGUAGGCGGUUUAGAAAGUCACAUGUGAAAGCCCACAGCUCAACUGUGGAACUGCAUUUGAAACUUCUGAACUAGAGUAUGAGAGGGGUUAAGGGAAUUCCCGGUGUAAGGGUGAAAUCUGCAGAGAUCGGGAGGAACACCAGUCGCGAAGGCGCUUAACUGGCUCAUUACUGACGCUCAGGGACGAAAGCUAGGGUAGCAAACGGG
rnacentral:rRNA from 1 species